AUCCUCGCCCGGCGCCUCACUCACCAAGGGCCGCGCCGGGGUUCUGCACUGUCACUGCGCUGCGGUUCCCCGCCUUAGGGAUUCUCACACGGUUCCACGGCUCCAGGCCCGGCGGCACCGCAGCCAUCAUGCGAGGCGGGGGGACUUACGAAAGGCGGAGCUACGCGAGAGCACGUCCAGCGACCGGAGGUAACACCUUGUGCAGCCGUAUGUACAUGGCAGCUGGUUGCAAUGUCCUUCCAGGAAUUCAUUCCUUCUGCAAACUAUUCUUAUGACCCUGAAGUUAUCUCCUUCUGCUUGACAAAGAAACAGUACAUCAGCAGUUUAUAAUUACAUUGUGGGAACAAGGAAUACUGGGCAAAAAGCGAGUGGUUAACAUGUACAAGCAAGCAAGGGCCUGUUCAAAAUUUUCAUUAUUUCAUGCACACACACACACACACACACACACAAAAAUGCUGGGGUGCUGAAAUCUCAAGCAGCUGAAAUCUCAAGGUUAUAUAGCUACAAAAUCCCUUCUCAGUGCAAGGUAACAUAUUUACAGAUUAUGGAAAUUAGCAUGUGAACAUCUUUGGGUGGGAGGUGGAGGGAUCUUUAUUCAGCCUACCACAGCCUCUCUCACAGAAUUUACCUCGCUUUAUUGUAUUUCUUUGUUUACUUUCAUGUCUAUUUCUCCAAUGGCAUAUGAACCUACUGAAAGCGAGAACUACCAUUGACAUAGCUAACUGGUCUUUCUAUCUCAAUGCUUAGUUCAGAGCCUGGCAUAUAGUAGGGCCUCAGUAGAUAUUUACUGGCUGUAUAUGAGGUUGGAUGAUGCUUGAAUAGAGUCUUUUGAAGGAUGAAUAGGAACUCCCCAGGCAGUUAAAGGAAAAAGGAUAUUCCUACAGAGAGGUUUUAAGCAGCAUGGGUUUGAAGAAUCACUAGUCCUGAGUUGGUACUGCUGGGACGUGAUUUGUGCUGAGGGGUGGAGCUGGGAAUAGUGGUGUCAGUCAGAUCAUGGGAAGAAUUUGGCUUUUUACCUGAAGACCAGUAGUUCAGAAACCUGGCUGAUUAUCAAAAUUGCCUGGAUAACUUAAAAAUAGAGAUUUUCAGGUCCCACUUGAAAAUUCUUACUCAUUAGUUCUGAGUAGGUCUGUUUUGAAAAGGUCUUUGUGAUGGUACUCUAGGUUGACGUGUCCUUGCUAUAGGUGAUAAAGGAGUCACUCACUGAGUCUUAGGCAGAGCAAUUUUUGUCAGCUUGCCUCAGAAGAAGAGCACCCUGGAGAACAGAUUUGGGAGAGAAGAGGUUGGAAGUAAGGAGACCAGGCCCAUCUGUUCUAUUACAAAAGCUAAGGCCAGAAAUGAUGCAGACCCAAACCUUCAAGCAUUUCUACUGGAUAUAGACAGUAUGACUUAUUUAGAUGUCUAGCAUGGGUGGAGAGUGUCCCUUAUCUGAAAUGCUUGGGACCAAAAUUGUUUCAGAUUUCCGGUUUUUUUUAGAUUUUGGAAUACUUGCAAAUAUACAUGAGAUAUCUUGGGUAUGGGACCCAAGUAUAAACAUGAAAUGUAUGUAUGUUUCAUAUCUACCUUAAACACAUGGCCUGAAGAAACUUUUAUGUAAUAUUUUUAAUAAUUUUGUGCAUGAAACAAAGUUUGUGUACAUCUCAAUCACCCAUGUGGACAGUCUGUGGUUGUUUGGUGUCAACAUCAUUCCUGACUCUGAAUUUAUAUGCUACUGUUUUUUUGUUUGUUUGUUUGUUUGUUUGUUUGUUUUUUGAGAUAGAGUCUCACUCUGUUGCCCAGGCUGGAGUGCAGUGGCACGAUCCCGGCUCACUGCAAGCUCCACCUCACAAGAUCACACUAUUCUCCUGUCUCAGCCUCCCGAGUAGCUGGGACUACAGGUGCCCACCACCAUGUCUGGCUAAUGUUUUUUUGUAUUUUUAGUAGAGACGGGGUUUCACUGUGUUAGCCAGGAUAGUCUCGAUCUGCUGACCUUGUGAUCUGCCCGCCUUGGCCUCCCAAAGUGCUGGGAUUACAGGUGUGAGCCACCGCACCCAGCCUAUAUGCUGCUGUUAAGCAACCAUUUUUUUCUCUUAUUCACACAUAUGUGCUUAAUAGUAAAAAAAAUGAUAUACCAUUAAUACAGUGAAAAUUAAUGUGUUCAGGGUAACUUGUAUCAUCAUGUCAGUACUCAAAAAGUUUGGCAUUUUGGAGCACUUCAGAUUUUGGAUUUUCAGUUUAAAGAUGCUCAACCUAUUUACAUAUUUACAUGUCUAGAAUGAUGAUAUGGUUUGGGUCUGUGUCCCUACCCAAAUCUCAUGUUGAAUUAUAACCCCCAAUGUUGGAGGAGGGGCCUUGUGGGAUGCAAUUGGAUAGUAGGGGCAGAAAUCUCCCUUGCUGUUCUCAUGAUAGUGAGUUCUCAGGACAUCUGGUUGUUUAAAAGUGUGUAGCACCUCCCUCUUUGCUCGCUUGCUCUCCUUCUCUGGCCAUGUAAGAUGUGCCUGCUUCCCCUUCACCUUCCUCCAUGAUUGUAAGUUUCCUGAGGCUUCCCCAGUUGUGCUUCCUGUACAGCCUGCAGAAUUGUGAGUCAAUUAAACUUCUUUUAUUUAUAAAUUA
rnacentral:lncRNA from 1 species